UGGAGUGGGAAUAAAGAGUCAACAUAAUAUGAAUGGGGAAUACCGAUAUAUCAACGUUUACCAACAUGCAUAAAUGCCAAUUAUGAUUAAAAAGUAGGUGGUUUCCUACCUUUUUCCCUACCGAAAUUU
rnacentral:sRNA from 1 species